rnacentral:lncRNA from 1 species
GUCCGGGGAUGGGAACGGGCUGCGGUCCCCUCUCCUGCUCCGAGGUUUCUUUAGGGCUCUUUCGCUUUCUUUCCUUUUUUCUUCUUAUUUUUUUUACUUUAAGGGGGAGGCUGUUUAUAAAUCUGUGCUUCACAAGCGGCUGAAUGCCGAUAGCCCCGUGCUCGGCUCGCUCGGAUGCCGCACACACAUGCACCGAGUUGGUGGGGGGGGGGGGACGGGGACGGGAAGGAGAACGGGAAGGAAUAGUCCUCGCCGCCCCCCCUUUCCUCCCAACCCUCCAGCAAAAAAAAGCCCUUUUCGAGCAUCUUCCCAUCGGGAGGGCUGUCGCUCGCUCGAGAAUAACUGGAUGGCAUCGAUCUGUCUCCCCACAGAAAGAGGUUUCUGGCCAGCAGCUCCAAGGACUGUCAUGGCCACGCUGUGCGUUUGGGAACGUCAUGCAAUGGGGCUUUAACUGUGAAUGGAGGACAUCCUGGCCCCACUACGGGUGGGAUAAGAACAACUCUCACCUCAAGGGUGAGUGCUUAGGAGUGGAGGCAAAGCCAGCUGGUGGAGCAAGUGACAGGGGCAGGUCUCCCUGAGAAGAAAAUCAGCCCAUGUGCGCCCAAAAUGACCCAAACCACAACUUUAUGGAGGCUCUUCUGGCUGUAGGGCGCACUGAUGACAGAGCCAGCUCCCACCAUCUGUGGAUUUCCUCAUCCUGGCAGCUCAGUGGGGAGCAGCAGGUCCUAGCUCAAUGCCUUGUGGUCCAGAUGCCACGGACCAUCCACCCUGGUUUCAAUAAGAGCAGUGCCCCUACAACACCACGGUGAGCAGCUGCACAGAGGUUUGAGCCGUUCCAGGGUGGAGGCCACCUUCUCCAUCCCCACGUUUGCCAUAACCCCAAAUCCAGCCCCAUCACGUGCAAUGAUAAAAAGGGAAUUGGCAGCACAAAACUCAUCCUGAUUUCCAGGUUGAUGUCUGCACAACCCUACUGGCUUCUCCGAAAGAAACAAGAGACACAAGCCUGUUCUGUCCCAAGGUUUCCCACUAGGCUAAUUACUGCUAAUUGUACCACUUCGCUAUCUCGCCAGCCACACCCUGAGCAGGGCUGAUAGGGUAUCAGUGAGAUAAGGAGCACUUGGAUAGCACAGGUAACAGAACUUUGGGAGGGGUUAUCACCCCUACCACCCUCCUUUGGGGUACACCAAGGUCCUAAGGAUGUGUGCAGAGACUGGCAUCCAACUGUAAGCCUUUUGGGAAACGCUACUGUUGGUGAUUGUAUCUGCAAGCUGCAGAGAAGCAAGCUGGCAUUCAUUUCAUAGUAAUUCCUUUAAAUUCACUUAGCAUGCGGAUUACUCGUAUGAGCUGCUCUCGUUGUUGUUAACACAACACUGAGGAAAUGGAGGUUUCACCAUUUCUCCAUUUUUCCCCCCUCCCACAGAGAAAUAAACGCUGUUCUUUUAACAAAUGCUGCGUCUCUCACUUCAUUUCUUACUUCUCCCCAUCUCUGCUGGCCUACCUGAAGCAAUUCAGCUCCGAC